rnacentral:sRNA from 1 species
AUGGCCAACCUACAGACCAUCCUGGUAAGAUUCUGUUUGUAAAAAAAGAACCUUUUCCAAUGUUGCAUUAUGAGCUUGAAGUUGUGUGAGUGCAGCUUGAGAUGUUUGGAAUCUUUGAAUUUUCUUGUGACUCAUCCUUGAAUUAGGGGGAUUAUCUUAAUUCGAAGGAAUGAUCUUUUGAUUUGUCCAUUGAUUACCCUAACUUCUUUAAUUGUUUCUUUAAACAAAUUUAGUUGUUUAAAAUAUUUAAAAGUUAUUCAAGUAGAGUUGAAGUCAACAUCCAAUCAUUUUUGAACUGAAGUGUCAACAAAAGAAGUCUACAUUUGGGCAGCGAAGUGGAGGGGAAGAUGCCUUGGGGAUACUUAACUUGAUUUUAUGGAAGGCAUCUUCAGUGAGUAUUUAAUUACUGUUUCCAGAAUACCUAUUUGGAGUUUGUUGGUGUAUCUAAUGCUCUAUCUGUUAUUUCUAGCUUCUAUAAGGUCUUUCUUGAAAUCAUAUUUUUGUGUUUGUGAUGUGAUUCAAAGGUAGUUCUAUACUUUUUAACCUUUGUACUUCUAAAUUAAUAUUCUUAGAUGAACUAUUGAUUAUAUAUUUAUUGGAAUGAUAAUAUGCUCUAGUUGUUAGAUUUCUUGCGAACUUCAAUGUUGCGAAUAAGUAUUUCCCCCUCUUUUAAGAACAAUGUGGCAGGUGAGAUUGAGGGUUCAAGACCCACCCAUAUGUGUAACUUACCAAUAAAACAAAAAGAUUACUUGCAAGCUUUGAUAAUAUUAAUACAUUAUAGAAUAUCUCUUGGCUUCUUUUCAUUGAAGUUAAAGCUCUAAAAUAGUAUUCAUUCUUUUUUGAAUGCCAUUCUUAUUGCAGCUAAACAAGAAAUUCAACUAGUUUAUAACCUAAAACAUGACAUUAUUUGGGUUGAAACCUUGGAAAUGAAAUUGAUUAUAAAGAAUAUGUGAAGUUCUCAGUUUUGAUUGACAUUUGUCAGGGCCUUGAUUGAAAGUGUAUUGGAGGUAACACAUAUAGAGGUCCAGAUUAUUUUACUGCAAGAAAGUGCUAGAUUGUGAUCAAUUCUCACUUUAGUAUUUGGGUGGCAUGUUGCUGGCUAACAAAUACAUGGAUAUGUGGGAAAAAAGAGGGGAUCAAUAUCUCUAGAAGUACAAGGAUGUCCUCCAAGCUGGACUAAUGCCCUCCAGUUUAAUCUCCUUAAGUGGUAAGAACUAAUUGUUUUUCUUUUAAUUGUAUGGUUAAUGUUUCAAACUUUUUCCUGAAUAUAUUUCCCAAUAACAUCAAAUCAACCCUUGCCGCAUCAGAGGUUGGAUGAGAGGGCUUCAACUGGGUGCCUGUUCUGUAAUACAUUGUUGUCAAAUAUGUUUGAUUGUUACAAAAUUCAUUACAGUUGUGCAUACAAGCAGUACCCCAUAUCAUAGUCUCUGUACUGGAAUCAAAUUAGAAUGUUUCAGCACCCAGAUUUGAUUACAAGACUAUCAGUUUUUGCUUAAUGUACUAGACUAUAUGUAUUGUUUGAGCUUGGAUAAAUUUCGUAUUACAGGAAAACAUAAAAAUCCAGAAAUCUGUAUUGUUGUCUUCUGCUGAGUUGCUUGUCCAACAGUUGUGAAAUUCCUUAGGUUUCCUUUGGCGGCAACAUUGCUUUGCGUUGUCUGCUGCACUUAGUUUGAUAUACAUGAUCAUGUAUCGCCACACUCUUCUGCAUCUUGUGGUGCAGAGGCUCUCAACAUUUCCACCGUCUGACACUUUCAUUUGAUUUUUCUUGUUAAACUUGCUGUCUUCAAUAAUUAUUGAACUGCUCCUCAUAUUUAAUAAGUUGUUUUUUUUAUCAAAUUGUGAACAAUGAACUGUUUUUACUAAUGCACUAUUAACAUAGCUAAACAAUGCCCUUUUUGGCCUACAUGUAGAAAACACAGAAGUUAGAAUGCAAUUUAUGUCAUUUUAAUUUUUAUAAUAAAACUUAUGAAUUUGUGAAGAGAAUGGUUUAUAUGUACAACGUAUAUUUUUUUGACCAUAACUACAUUAUUUGGGUUUUAAGUACCUAUCUUCUGUUUAGGUACAGAAGAAGUCUCAAUUAAUUAUUACAAAAUUUUCACAUUUGGUUCUGAUUACUUAAGAGCAUGUGGGUGUGUCAUGUGUGUUCUAGUUCUCCCAUUAAAGUACCAAUUAUUAAUGAUUUUUCUGCAUAUCAUUGAAUUGUGUUGAACUCUGACAGACUAAAGGACCUCAUUGUUUACAAGCUUGAUGGUGAAAUACUUCACAAGGAAGCCAGCCAAGGUAUAUGUUUGGAUGGUGAAGCUGAUGUUGGUACUGUCAUAGCCUUCUAGCCUGGUGUAACUUUGAGAAUAACCCUUUUUUAAUAAUCAAAAUCCUAAGCUCUUUUUGUAGUAAGUGAAUAAAUUAGUUGUUAAGGCCUUUGUUUUAAUAUAAAUUAUGUUUACAAAGUUAAAAUUAAAUAAAUUUUCAUGAUUGUAUUUGGAUGAGCUUAUUUUGACUGCCUUUUUUUGAUAAAAAAUAAGCUGUAGAACAGUACAACUAUUCUUAAGAAAUUAAUACAACUUUUGUUUGUUCCCUACUUUGCCACUUGGCUUCAUGUGAAUUUAUGCUACCUUUAUUGCUCAGGGUACGACUUCAUUGGGUGUGCUUUAAUCACAAAUUUUUUCUCAUGACAGACUUGAACAUCCAGCUACAACCAUUUGGGAAGGAAUGCUGA